CUCAUGAACAACCUCAAGUCAACCGUAGCCAACCCCCCUCGCAGCAGUUUGACCAGAGGAGGUCGUCAUCCUCGCCUCCGGCAAGUGCAGCCGCCGCCGCCCUCCGGUCGAUUCCGAUGCCACCAGAGCCCCUCCCUCUACUCUACCACCACCAUUAGCUCCAUCAUGACCCCGAGGACCCUUUCCAGCAUUCAAAUUUGCCUGGGAGUCGAGGUUUGCAAGGCUCCAGCCCCUCCCGAAGCUGCCCUCCGCCAUGGAGGAAGGGCUACUCGCCCUCGAGCUCCGCCACUCCCCUAACCUCCUCCAAUGGAUGCGACAUCCCUUCCCGAGCACGUGCAUACCCGGAGCGCAUCGUUUGGUGCCCCCUGUCGCCGGCAAUCAUCAUCGGAGCCUGCCCCUGCUCUCUGCCCAGGCGCGCGAGAGGAGGAAGAGAAACCCGGCAAGCGGGCCCCGCACGUCAGCGACUAGGCCGGACCCCAACGGUUCUAAGUGAAGGCGCCCUCCACUAAGUACGUCUUCCCUGUGCUAAUACGUAUUCGAGUCUGAACCAUUUUCCUUUUUUCAGAUUUUAUAAAAACAGAUUUGACUAGUAACUUUGACUGGCUAUAUCUUUUAAAAUAAAACUCCAAAUAAGUUGAUUCUUUUUCCUACCUCUCUCAAAUUUAGUCUAGUUUAUUUUAAGAUUUAUUUGAAAAAAUUUUAGACAACUUUUUUACACUGUUUUGAAACUAUGUUUUAAUUUCAAUAAUUUCAAAAAUAGGUUUUUGAAGAAGAAGUCAACUUUCAAAAGGCACACUCCACUUGCAUGCUCUUGAAGGCAAGCAUUUUGAACUUGGACAUAAUUUCGUGUCUGUUGUCUGACACGGUGGCAAUACCACCUUGACACGGAGUGUCCGUUAUUUUAUGUGAUGAUAGGUUCAAACUCAUGAGUGCAUAUUAAUGAUCUCAUGCAUAUUGGAAAUUUCCUUGUUGUUGGAAAUGGUCAUGCUUGUGACAAUAAUCAUCCUCGUAUGCUUUUCGUGCCUGCCAGAAGCAAGCCGGGAAAGUCUCUGUCUUGGGUAGACCUGAGCUUGUCCCUAUGUCGGGGAAACUGAUCCACGAACACCUAUGGGGCCGGCAGACCGAGCCCCUUUCGGUUUGGCGGAGGGCGGAGGUCGCACGAAGAGCGGAUCGAGGCGAAGCACACGAGCAGUUUACCCAGCUUCGGAGCUCUCCGGAGAGAUAAUACUCCUACUGCUGCUUGUUUGACUCUAUUAUGUUCUUGCUCGAGAGAGAGCUAAGUGUUUUUCUGGCUUCCGAAUGAUUCGAACCCCCUCUACGUUGCGCAUGGGCCUCCUUUUAUAUGCUCAAGGGGUCACCGACAGGUGGCAACACAGAUAAGGGUAAAAGUGUAAAAAGAGAGGUGGUUGGUACAGUUACUUGUACAGUGUUUCCUACCUAACACUGACGGCAGGGGACAAGGGCAUUAAGUGCCCGUCUGCGUCGCCCAAACAGUACAGAAAAGUGCCGUCAGGGACGCCACCGCUCGCCACGAUGGCAGUCCUGUCAGCUUCGCAUGCCACUGCGCACCGCUGGCUGCACGGCCUUCCGCCACACGCGCCUGGAGAGGCCCCCAGAGCGACACAUUGGUGGAUGCGUUGGAGCGUGGGCGUAGAGUGGCCGCCUGCCGCGGCAAGCGCCUUGCCGCGGCCGCUGUCUUGUCGGGCCCGGAAGCUUGUCGCUCACCGGGCCUUGCCGGGACGCGCGGCGCGUCGCGGCAAGUUCCUUGAAAUGCCUUGGUUGGCCUUCCCGGCAAGCUCCUCUUGUCGGGGCCUUGUCUCCUAAGCUUAAAUACUUUGUUCUUGAAUGGCUCCAAGGGAACCACAGAGGACCUUGGCGGUCUCCCGGCAAGGCUUGGUGCGGGGUGCUGCAACUCCCCGUGCACAAGUUCGGGGUACUAGGGUACCCCUAUUCUAGUACACCGACACCCUAGUUCCUCGUCGAGACGAGUGUGCCCGGUAUGGCAUGAUAGGGUAUGAUGAGUGGUGAUUCUGUCUGUUGGAUGAAAUAUAGAUUCGUAUGCUGAUCAUGCAGGGAAUACUUAAACCUCCUGAGUCGACCAUAGAUCGAGUCUUGUUCGGGUAACCCCCACACUUGUUUCGUACUACCACUUGUCCCUGCUGUAGGUAGGGUACGGUUGGGUAAGUUGUCAACCCCUUUCUAGCACACACCGUAAAGAGGGGCCGGGAUGAGGGUUCCACGGCCGUGGAUUAAAGCCAGUCAUCCGGUCAGGGGGCAUCGGUGUUUUCGGUUGGGAUCGAGAGGGGGGCACCCCUUAGAGCGCGCGAUAUAAAUUUGAUCCCAUGCUACACGAGGUUGUAGCCUCCCCACUUAGAGUUUUGCUUGACAGGUGUCGUGGGUGAUUCCAGACACCGGUAAGUUAAGCUGGUGUGUGCAAGUCAGGUGUGUUUUCAAUUAAAAGACCGUAGAUGGAAUUAGUCCCGAUGGACUAAAGGAAUCCGUUACUCGUGGGUAAAGAGUACACCCUCUGCAGAGAUUAAAUCUAUUUGAAUAGCCGUGUCCAUGAUUAAGGACUACAGUCUAGGUUGGGUCAAGUGUCGGUCUUAGUGUUGGUCUUCGGAGGAGAAACUACUAAACCAGAACAUGGAUCAUGUCGUGUGACUUAUGAUGAUUAUGAUUAUUAUCAUUAUGGACUAACCCCUUUAUAUUAUUUGAAGUACUGAGUAUCCCUAGGACGGUUCUACCUCCUGGAUAUUCACUGUGAUUGUUUUUCUUAUAAGCCCUUUAUGUGGUGUCGCUCAGACGCCCGACUGUGGCAUGCUGUUAUUUAUUUACUCUAUAAGCCCUUUAUGUGGUGUCGCUCAGACGCCCGACUGUGGCAUGCUGUUAAUUAUUUACUCUAUAAGCCCUUUAUGUGGUGUCGCCCAGACGCCCGACUGAGGCAUGCUCGUUAUUUAUUAUCUUUUCGAGGCGUCGCUUCAAACACCCGAUUGGUGCAUUUUAUUACUACUCUGUUUCUACAUAUUCAUGUUGCAUAUAAAUAACCUGCUUGCAUGCAUCAGAGGAUUUUAUUUUAUGACGAAUGUUAUGAUCAUAGAAUAUUUCAAAGUAUGAUUACCAUUUGUUAGAUUAUACCCGUGUUCAUAAUGUUUGCGAGUACAUUCAAAGUACUCACUGGCUUGUCCCUGGCUAUUGUCUUGGCCAGAUUUCUUGCAUGGAGAGGAGCGACGUGGUGACAGCCCCGGAACCUAAGCAACGGUGAUAGCAGCCACGCGAAGAUAGGAGUUAACCUGGUCAGCUGUUCCUGUGGGAGAUGGAGUCCCAUAGACAAUGAUGAUCCACAAACCGCUUCCGCCAUCAACCACUAGAAACCUUUUGUUGUACUCACCAGCCAGAAUGGUCUUGUACUGCAUAUUUUGUAUUUUGCUUGGAAUUUUUGUAUCAAGUUGGUGCCUCAUCAGCUAAAAGUAAUCCUAGGGCUGGUGAGCACAAGGGCCUUUUUCUGGAAAUUAAUAUCCCAAAAACCGGUCCUGACAGACUUGGUAUCAGAGCCAGGCUGACCAUUGGCUAAUCCUAUCUCAGCCAGUUCAAUAAACCUAGGUUAACCAACCCACCAGACCAUAACCUUAACCCGGCCAAGCUUCUCGUGCAAGAUAGCCACACAGUGACCCCGACACUUUUGGCAAUCGGUGCCCAACCUAUCAGCCUAGCCUGGCAAGCACGCGCCAGUGACCGACCCCUAGAUUGUCCCAUUCGCAAGCGUGCGAAGGAAGACUCCGUCCCCCUUUUUUCUAUAAAAAGGGCACGCUAGCCUCAACUCAGCACUGCACAAACUCUUUUCCAAACCAAGCCAUAAUGCCUGGCCCCGUAGUGCACAACGAGACCACAGCAACCAACCUUGGAGGUUUUGUGACCGUGCUCACGAACCUCACCCUCCGUGCCUUUGCAUUAGAAGAACCCCUAGAGUAUGUUGUGUACCAAGGACCCAUGAGCAGUGAGAGCCGUUAAUUCUGGGCCACCAUGCACGACUACGGUAGGGGUCUAUCACCAGAACGCCCCUACAGGUUCACCGGAAGGACAACUUCCUUUGAGCCACAAGCCAUCCAACUAGCUGCUCGAGAGGCUAUAGUUCAACUCCGGCACUUGUCGCCUAGAGUUAACUGUUGCUCGUUCUAGUACUACCCCAGCUGUGACGGGUAUGGUAGGCCACCCCAGGUUGCCAGCGGAGACCACGAGACGGACCCUGCAUUGUUGCAUCUGGUGCGCUAUGUAAGUGCACUAGAGGAUUUGUUCGAUCAAAUCACCCUUGACCUGAUCGCAGCUCGUGGAGAGCUGAUUCGCCGAGCCCCGGCCAGAGGAGAAGAUGAGACCAACACCGACAACCCAGUCAUGCUAUUUGGACAACCGAUCGAGUCCUUGAGGUCUGCCCCAGUCAUUGACCAAAACUCCUUGAUGAGCCCAGAAGUACUUCAUCGCCUUUUGGGAACACACUCCAGCGGGAUUGUGGCCAACAAUCCCCGAGAUGGUCAUCAUUGCUACCCCAACCCUGCAGUCCCUCAACCCCCUCCAGCUAAUCUCAACGGUGAGAACCAUGGAGAAGCCUCAUCGUCCACAAGGCAAGAUCGCUUGGAUAUUAACGAGGUAGACUGAGUCACUCGAGUAGUAACGAGUCUUAGUAUGUCCUCGCCUUGUAACUGUGUAAUCCUGUAUCGCCGUAAUUAAAUGUUGUUGCUUGUGCACCCUAUUUUAAAAUAGUAGCCAUACAUAAGUAUGUUGGUGUGCGACUGCAAAAUUAUUUUUUUAACCCGAGCAUAGCUGCCAACCCCAGCGACUCAAAGUUUGUGCUAUGAGUAAAACUUUCUGGUUUCAACUAACUGGAAUAAUAUUUUUCCAAAAACAACUCUUAGCAAAUCUCAAGGACGAGAUUUUUCUUAAGGAGGGUAGUGUUGUGACACCACAAAAUUUUAAACUAGUUUUAUUAAUUAAAAUUUUGCCAGGAAACUUAAACUUUUAUUUUCUGGAUUUCCUUUUGAUUCCAGAACCAUUCUUUUCUUUAUUAUCAUAGAGUUUUGACCCCAAGUGAAGACUUUUCAAUUAUUAUUGGGCUUAUUUACCCUCUCAAGUAAAACAUUUCUAUUAUCAGUAGAUUUAUUUGCAUAAUUAUUUCUCUCUGAGCUUUAUUCCUUAAAAUGAGUUUUCAUUGGUUUUGGAGCUCUAUUUGAACUACAACCAAUUGAUAAAUUUAUUUAAAAAUCCCACCAAAAAUUGGAGAUGUCAGGUGAUGUUUUUUAAAUCACUUUUAUGCAAAAAUAUCUUCUGUUCAUUGGAGAUUUUGAGCUCUACACCAAGUUUUCAAAUCUGGUCCAAUGGGCAAUUUUGCACUGCAACCUAAUUAAAUAUUUCUUUAAAACUUCCACCAAAAUUAUGGGAUGUUAAUAGGAGUAUAUUAUUCAUCUUUAUGCAAAAACAUAGUUAUGUCCUUUGAAAAUUUUGAGUGAAUCAACCUCAUCUUCAUUCUGGUCCAACUUGAUGAUUUGUACUGCAACCAUAUUUUGGCUUGCUCUUUUUCCCUUGAUUCUUUAUCUGGCUUGUAGACCACCCUGCAAAACCCUUAAGUCCAGGAGCAUGAACCCAUUGGAAUAUUUUGGUCCAUGAAAUGAUAGCCUUUAGGUUCUGUCCAGAAUUGGUUUUCUCAAUUUUUUUGCACUAACAAGUUUCUAUGUUUUACUAACUAACCUUGCCACCAUCUACUACACCUAAAGAGACCCCAAUCUGGAGAUUUUGGCCACCCCAAGAAAUGCCUAGGUGCCCUUGGCAUUUUGCCAAACACCUUGUGUGCAUGGCCAGUCUUGGCAUGGUUUUUAGUUAGCAUUGUACACUUGAUCCUCUAACCUAACUAACUUUUCCACUAAGCUCCUAGCUAACCCUAACCCAGCCUUGUUAACUACCAGCAUCACCCAAGCUCUCUAACACGCGCUGGCAUUUCGUCGAGCACCUGUCGUGCGUGCACCGGGCGCAGCCAGAGCGCGCGUUUUGCACGUGCGUGCACCCGAGCUGCCGCGUCCCAGGUUAACCCCUCCCCGAAGCUCGAUCUGAUCCGCUGGUAUAGCCGUGUCUCGCCCCACUCGACCGCCCCCUGGCUCCUCGCAGCGCCACCGCAGCGAGCCUUUUGGCGGCACGCAGGCGUCGGCAGCCCGCCCCUGCUCAGGUCGACACCGCCAAAACCACCGCAGCACGCCAGCUCGCCUCCUUGGAUAGUGGAGAGUUCGUCGUUAGCCCCUGGAGCCAGCCGGCCAUCUCCAUGUUGCCUCCGGCGACAGUAGCAAGCGCACCGUCGAGCUUAGCCACGGCUACCAUCGGGAACCGACGCUUCCCUGAUAUAAAUAGCGCUCCCGGCCUCCCUUGCACUCGUGAACAGCCUCAUGUCAACCGUAGCCAACCCCCUCGCAGCAGUUUGACCAGAGGAGGUCGUCAUCCUCGCCUCCGGCAAGUGCAGCCGCCGCCGCCGCCCUCCGAUCGAUUCCGAUGCCACCAGAGCCCCUCCCUCUACUCUACCACCACCAUUAGCUCCAUCAUGACCCCGAGGACCCUUUCCAGCAUUCAAUUUUUCCCGGGAGUCGAGGUUUGCAAGGCUCCAUACCCUCCCGAAGCUGCCCUCCACCAUGGAGGAAGGGCUACUCGCCCUUGAGCUCCGCCGCUCCCCUAACCUCCUCCAAUGGAUGCGACAUCCCUUCCCGAGCACGUGCAUACCCGGAGCGCAUCGUUUGGUGCCCCCUGUCGCCGGCAAUCAUCAUCGGAGCCCGCCCCUGCUCUUUGCCCAGGCGCGCGAGAGGAGGAAGAGAAACCCGACAAGCGGGCCCCGCACGUCAGCGACUAGGCCGGACCCCAAUGGUUCUAAGUGAAGGCGCCCUCGACUGAGUACGUCUUCCCUGUGCUAAUACGUAUUCGAGUCUGAUCCAUUUUCCUUUUUUCAGAUUUUAUAAAAACAGAUUUGAUCAGUAACUUUGACUGGCUAUAUCUUUAAAAUAAAACUCCAAAUAAGUUGAUUCUUUU
rnacentral:lncRNA from 1 species